rnacentral:rRNA from 1 species
UACGUAGGGUCCGAGCGUUGUCCGGAAUCAUUGGGCGUAAAGAGCUCGUAGGCGGUUUGUCGCGUCUGCUGUGAAAUCCCGAGGGCUCAACCUCGGGUCUGCAGUGGGUACGGGCAGACUGGAGUGCGGUAGGGGAGAAUGGAAUUCCUGGUGUAGCGGUGGAAUGCGCAGAUAUCAGGAGGAACACCGAUGGCGAAGGCAGUUCUCUGGGCCGUAACUGACGCUGAGGAGCGAAAGCGUGGGGAGCGAACAGG